CGGGGUGCAGCAGGCGCGAAACCUUAGCAAUGUGCGAAAGCACGACUGGGUCAGUCCGAGUGAUUCCUGAUAGAGGAGUCUUUUGCUUGUCCUAAAAGCACAGGUGAAUAAGGGGUGGGCAAGUCUGGUGUCAGCCGCCGCGGUAAUACCAGCACCUCGAGUGGUCAGGACGUUUAUUGGGCCUAAAGCAUCCGUAGCCGGCUCUGCAAGUCUUCGGCUAAAUCCACCUGCUCAACAGAUGGGCCGCUGGAGAUACUACAGAGCUAGGGAGUGGGAGAGGCAGACGGUAUUCAGUGGGUAGGGGUAAAAUCCUCUGAUCCAUUGAGGACCACCAGUGGCGAAGGCGGUCUGCCAGAACACGUUCGACGGUGAGGGAUGAAAGCUGGGGGAGCAAACCGGAUUAGAUACCCGGGUAGUCCCAGCUGUAAACGAUGCAAACUCGGUGAUGCAUUGGCUUAUGGCCAAUGCAGUGCCGCAGGGAAGCCGUUAAGUUUGCCGCCUGGGAAGUACGGACGCAAGUCUGAAACUUAAAGGAAUUGGCGGGGGAGCAC
rnacentral:rRNA from 1 species